rnacentral:tRNA from 1 species
CGCGGGGUGGAGCAGUCUGGUAGCUCGUCGGGCUCAUAACCCGAAGGUCGUAGGUUCAAAUCCUGCYCCCGCAACCA